rnacentral:rRNA from 1 species
UACGAAGGGGCUAGCGUUGUUCGGAAUUACUGGCGUAAAGCGUGCGCAGGCGGCUUCUCAAGUCAGGGGUGAAAGCCCAGAGCUCAACUCUGGAAUUGCCUUUGAGACUGAGUGGCUUGAGUACGAGAGAGGUGAGUGGAAUUCCCAGUGUAGAGGUGAAAUUCGUAGAUAUUGGGAAGAACACCGGUGGCGAAGGCGGCUCACUGGCUCGUAACUGACGCUCAUGCACGACAGCGUGGGGAUCAAACAGG